AAGACACUAGUAAAACAAUUACCCUACUUUGUCAAGGUAGAAUUGUGAGUUAAAUUCUCGCGUGCCUUA
rnacentral:tRNA from 1 species